rnacentral:lncRNA from 1 species
CAAGUAGCUGGAAAUAUAGGUGUGCCCCACCACGACUGGCUAAUUUUUGUAUUUUUAGUAGAGACAGGGUUUCACCAUGUUGGCCAGGCUGGUCUCGAACUCCAGGCCUCAUGUAAUCCGCCCACCUUGGCCUUUCACUUAGCAUAACAUCCCCAAGUUCAAUCAUGGUGUUGCAAAUGACAGGAUCUCCUUAUUUUUAAGGCUGAAUUAAAUACUCCAUUGUAUGUAUAUAUCACAUUUUCUUUAUCCAUUCAUGUGCUGAUGGACAUUUUUUCUUGCUCCUUUAAAAUAAAUUCACUAUCUAUUAGCCUGGGCAACGUGGCAAGACCCCAUGUCCACAAACAAUAAAAAAGAUUAGCUGGGUGUGGUGGUCUGUGCCCCAUAGUCCCAGUGCGGUGGCUCAUGCCUAUAAUCCCAGCACUUUGGGAGGCCGAUAUGGGCAGAUCAGCAGAGGUCAGGAGUUUGAGAUUAUCCUGACCAACAUUGUGAAACCCUGCCUCUACUAAAAAUAAAAAAAAAAAAAAAAAUUAGCCAGGCA